GUAAAAAUUUCCAACAUAUCCUCAUUCCUGCUUCUUCAGUUCUCAGCCUCUUAAUAUCUUUACUGAAAAUGGAGGGUUGCAAGAUGGCUAUGUUCUUCACCAUCUAUAUUAUGAUUCUUCUGGCUUUUACUGAUUUCGGAACAUCAGCUGCGGUUAAAGAUUUAGGGGGUAUCGCACCAGGACCUAUGGAAAGCUCUGGAAUGGCUCUGGGCGUUCCAGCUGCACUUGCAGUCGUAGCUUCAAUGGCUGCUUGGUUCUUUUAAAUAUGGUCAUUUCCUGUUUUUGGUUAUUUAGUGAAUGUUGCUUGGAUUGCUCAAUUCUUUCAUUUUUCAGUCCAUUCUGUUUAGCCCAGAGAAGUUGAGUGAAAUGUUGUCUGGAUAAGAAAUUACAUAAGCUAUCUUUCACUCUUUCUGAAAUCCUGCAACUCUUGGUGAUUCUACUAUUAUCUUCUGAUACUUUAAUGUGGUACUCUAAUUACUAGUUUUUAUUUG
rnacentral:misc_RNA from 1 species